rnacentral:rRNA from 1 species
GAUGAACGCUGGCGGCGUGCCUAAUACAUGCAAGUCGAGCGAACGGACGAGAAGCUUGCUUCUCUGAUGUUAGCGGCGGACGGGUGAGUAACACGUGGAUAACCUACCUAUAAGACUGGGAUAACUUCGGGAAACCGGAGCUAAUACCGGAUAAUAUUUUGAACCGCAUGGUUCAAAAGUGAAAGACGGUCUUGCUGUCACUUAUAGGUGGAUCCGCGCUGCAUUAGCUAGUUGGUAAGGUAACGGCUUACCAAGGCAACGAUGCAUAGCCGACCUGAGAGGGUGAUCGGCCACACUGGAACUGAGACACGGUCCAGACUCCUACGGGAGGCAGCAGUAGGGAAUCUUCCGCAAUGGGCGAAAGCCUGACGGAGCAACGCCGCGUGAGUGAUGAAGGUCUUCGGAUCGUAAAACUCUGUUAUUAGGGAAGAACAUAUGUGUAAGUAACUGUGCACAUCUUGACGGUACCUAAUCAGAAAGCCACGGCUAACUACGUGCCAGCAGCCGCGGUAAUACGUAAGUGGCCAAGCGUUAUCCGGAAUUAUUGGGCGUAAAGCGCGCGUAGGCGGUUUUUUAAGUCUGAUGUGAAAGCCCACGGCUCAACCGUGGAGGGUCAUUGGAAACUGGAAAACUUGAGUGCAGAAGAGGAAAGUGGAAUUCCAUGUGUAGCGGUGAAAUGCGCAGAGAUAUGGAGGAACACCAGUGGCGAAGGCGACUUUCUGGUCUGUAACUGACGCUGAUGUGCGAAAGCGUGGGGAUCAAACAGGAUUAGAUACCCUGGUAGUCCACGCCGUAAACGAUGAGUGCUAAGUGUUAGGGGGUUUCCGCCCCUUAGUGCUGCAGCUAACGCAUUAAGCACUCCGCCUGGGGAGUACGACCGCAAGGUUGAAACUCAAAGGAAUUGACGGGGACCCGCACAAGCGGUGGAGCAUGUGGUUUAAUUCGAAGCAACGCGAAGAACCUUACCAAAUCUUGACAUCCUUUGACAACUCUAGAGAUAGAGCUUUCCCCUUCGGGGGACAAAGUGACAGGUGGUGCAUGGUUGUCGUCAGCUCGUGUCGUGAGAUGUUGGGUUAAGUCCCGCAACGAGCGCAACCCUUAAGCUUAGUUGCCAUCAUUAAGUUGGGCACUCUAAGUUGACUGCCGGUGACAAACCGGAGGAAGGUGGGGAUGACGUCAAAUCAUCAUGCCCCUUAUGAUUUGGGCUACACACGUGCUACAAUGGACAAUACAAAGGGCAGCGAAACCGCGAGGUCAAGCAAAUCCCAUAAAGUUGUUCUCAGUUCGGAUUGUAGUCUGCAACUCGACUACAUGAAGCUGGAAGCGCUAGUAAUCGUAGAUCAGCAUGCUACGGUGAAUACGUUCCCGGGUCU